UUGGAGGGCAAGUCUGGUGCCAGCAGCCGUGGUAAUUCCAGCUCCAAUAGCGUAUAUUAAAGUUGUUGCAGUUAAAAAGCUCGUAGUUGAAUUUCGGGAUCAAUGUUUCGGUCAUGCCGUUGGUAUGUACUGAUAUUAUUGAUUUCUCACCUUCUAAAGAACCGUAAUGCCAUUAAUUUGGUGUCACGGGGAAUUAGGACUGUUACCUUGAAAAAAUUAGAGUGUUUAAAGCAGGCUCACGCUUGAAUACAUUAGCAUGGAAUAAUGAAAUAGGACAUCCGAUUCUAUUUUGUUGGUUUCUAGGAUCGAUGUAAUGAUUAAUAGGGAUAGUUGGGGGCAUUAGUAUUCAAUUGUCAGAGGUGAAAUUCUUGGAUUUAUUGAAGACUAACUACUGCGAAAGCAUUUGCCAAGGAUGUUUUCAUUAAUCAAGAACGAAAGUUAGGGGAUCGAAGACGAUCAGAUACCGUCGUAGUCUUAACCAUAAACUAUGCCGACUAGGGAUCGGAUGAUGUUAAUUUUUUAAUGACUCAUUCGGCGCCUUACGGGAAACCAAAG
rnacentral:rRNA from 1 species